rnacentral:tRNA from 1 species
AGUUACUGGCCUGGGGCAGGUUUCGUCUUGAAAAUGAAACAGAAGUGUUCGAAUCACUUAGUAGCUU